CCUACGGGUGGCAGCAGUGAGGAAUAUUGGUCAAUGGGCGCGAGCCUGAACCAGCCAAGCCGCGUGAAGGAUGACUGCCCUACGGGUUGUAAACUUCUUUUGUCAAGGAAUAAAGUGAGGCACGUGUCCCUUUGUGUCUGUACUUUAUGAAAAAGGAUCGGCUAACUCCGUGCCAUCAGCCGCGGUAAUACGGAGGAUACGAGCGUUAUCCGGAUGUAUUGGGUUUAAAGGGAGCGUAGAUGGGUCGUUAAGUCAGUUGGGAAAGUAUGGGGCUCAACCCUACAAGUGCAGUUGAUACUGGCAGACUUGAGUGCAGUUGAGGUAGGCGGAAUGCGAGGUGUAGCGGUGAAAUGCUUAGAUAUCGCGAAGAACUCCGAUUGCGAAGGCAGCGUACU
rnacentral:rRNA from 1 species